rnacentral:rRNA from 1 species
AUUGAACGCUGGCGGCAGGCCUAACACAUGCAAGUCGAGCGAGCGGCGGACGGGUGAGUAAUGUCUGGGAAACUGCCUGAUGGAGGGGGAUAACUACUGGAAACGGUAGCUAAUACCGCAUACCAUCGGAUGUGCCCAGAUGGGAUUAGCUGGUUGGUGGGGUAACGGCUCACCAAGGCGACGCUCCCUAGCUGGUCUGAGAGGAUGACCAGCCACACUGGAACUGAAACACGGUCCAGACUCCAACGGGAGGCAGCAGUGGGGAAUAUUGAACAAUGGGUGCAAGCCUGAUGCAGCCAUGCCGCGUGUAUGAAGAAAGCCUUCGGGUUGUAAAGUACUUUCAGCGGGGAGGCGUUACCCGCAGAAGAAGCACCGGCUGACUCAGUGCCAGCCGCCGCGGUAAUAC